AGAGUUUGAUCCUGGCUCAGAACGAACGCUGGCGGCAUGCCUAACACAUGCAAGUCGAACGAACCCUUCGGGGUUAGUGGCGCACGGGUGCGUAACGCGUGGGAAUCUGCCCUUUGCUUCGGAAUAACAGUUAGAAAUGACUGCUAAUACCGGAUGAUGUCUUCGGACCAAAGAUUUAUCGGCAAAGGAUGAGCCCGCGUAGGAUUAGGUAGUUGGUGGGGUAAAGGCCUACCAAGCCGACGAUCCUUAGCUGGUCUGAGAGGAUGAUCAGCCACACUGGGACUGAGACACGGCCCAGACUCCUACGGGAGGCAGCAGUGGGGAAUAUUGGACAAUGGACGCAAGUCUGAUCCAGCAAUGCCGCGUGAGUGAUGAAGGCCUUAGGGUUGUAAAGCUCUUUUACCAGGGAUGAUAAUGACAGUACCUGGAGAAUAAGCUCCGGCUAACUCCGUGCCAGCAGCCGCGGUAAUACGGAGGGAGCUAGCGUUGUUCGGAAUUACUGGGCGU
rnacentral:rRNA from 1 species